CGUUCAGGGAUGAAGAUUGGGCGGA
rnacentral:piRNA from 1 species